rnacentral:lncRNA from 1 species
GAAAAGUUAACUACCGAGGGACAUUUACGUCUUUUACUUGUGUUUCUAAGCCUAACAAGACUACCCUUGUUCCCGUUCUUUAGAUUUAGGAUCUUGAAUGCUUGUCUGCAUUUGGUAUGUUAUGUUUUACAUGUGUUUAACUGUUUGAAGGUGGUAGCGUUCUUUCUUACCUUUCAUUUGAAUUUCCUUUGACUCAAACUUGAUACCUAGAACUGUAGAUAAGCCAACCAGAGUCUAUGUAGUAGUACAAGUUUAGCAUCUAAGAUUGUAGGAAAUUCUCUUAUCUUUCCAACACCACCAAGAACAUCUCAAUCAAAAAUAACAUGGACAGACAGUUGUUAUGAUGUUGUAAUUCGUUUUGAGCCGAUUAUUGUGAUACAGGGUGGUCUGUUUGAGACUAUUAGAAGAGGACCACAAUCCUUAGGCUUAAUUAAUGUAAUGUAGUCAGUAAAACUGAAUUCUAGACUCCACAUAAGUUUAGAAGUUGUUCCUUUCAAUUAAUCAAACAAGAAAAACAAUCUGUGAAUUCUAGGAAAUUCUAUUAAGGUAAGGGGUAUUUGUUUGAAUUUAAGGAAUGUGAAUGAGGAGGAAUAUGAGUGUCCUAAGACCCCCUAUGCCUUGCGUGAUUAUUUUUGCGAAAUCAAAAAUAUUUUGGUCAUAUGUAUGAG